CAGUAGCCGCGGUAAUACGAAGGGGGCUAGCGUUGUUCGGAUUUACUGGGCGUAAAGCGCACGUAGGCGGAUCCUUAAGUCAGAGGUGAAAUCCCAAGGCUCAACCUUGGAACUGCCUUUGAUACUGGGGAUCUCGAGUCCGGGAGAGGUGAGUGGAACUGCGAGUGUAGAGGUGAAAUUCGUAGAUAUUCGCAAGAACACCAGUGGCGAAGGCGGCUCACUGGCCCGGAACUGACGCUGAGGUGCGAAAGCGUGGGGAGCAAACAGGAUUAGAUACCCCAGUAGUCCCUGUCUCUUAUAC
rnacentral:rRNA from 1 species